rnacentral:rRNA from 1 species
CAAUCGAACGCGGAGAUAGCUGGUUCUCCCCGAAAUAGCUUUAGGGCUAGCCUCAAGUAGUAAGUAUAGGCGGUAGAGCACUGAUCGGGCUAGGGGCCAUAAAGGUUACCGAACCCUGUCAAACUCCGAAUGGUUAUACUGUAGAGCUUGGGAGUCAGACUACGAGUGAUAAGAUCCGUGGUCAAAAGGGAAACAGCCCAGACCACCAGCUAAGGUCCCCAAUGUCGUACUAAGUGGAAAAGGAUGUGGGGUCUCUAAAACAACCAGGAUGUUGGCUUAGAAGCAGCCACCAUUUAAAGAGUGCGUAAUAGCUCACUGGUCGAGAGACCCUGCGCCGAAGAUUACCGGGGCUAAAGUACGAAACCGAAGCUGUGGCUACGACAUAUGUCGUGGGGUAGGGGAGCGUUCUGUGAGGGCUGAAGUCGUUCUGUAAGGAACGGUGGACUUCACAGAAGUGAGAAUGUUGGUAUGAGUAGCGAAAAGAAUGGUGAGAAUCCAUUCCACCGAAAGCAUAAGGAUUCCUGGGCAACGAUCGUCGUCCCAGGGUAAGUCGGGACCUAAUCCGAGGCAUGGAGCGUAGGAGAUGGACAACUGGCAGAUAUUCCAGUACCGGUAAUGAUUGUUUGAGCGAUGGAGUGACACAGGAGGGCAGGCAGGCAGGAGAUUGGUUGUUCCUGUACAAGCGUGUAGGAUGGGACGCAGGCAAAUCCGCGUCCUGUGAGUCUGAGGCGUGAUGUGGAGGUUCCGGAAACGGAACUGAAGCUGCUGACCCCACACUGUCGAGAAAAGCUUCUAGUUAGAGAAUUACCGCCCGUACCGUAAACCGACACAGGUAUGCGGGGAGAGAAUCCUAAGGUGCGCGGGAGAACCCUCGUUAAGGAACUCGGCAAAAUGUACCCGUAACUUCGGGAUAAGGGUAGCCGCUGUUGUGAAGUCUGAACAGACGGAGCAUGAGGCGGUCGCAGAGAAGAGGCCCAAGCGACUGUUUACCACAAACACAGGUGCCUGCUAAAGAGAAAUCUGACGUAUAGGUGCUGACACCUGCCCAGUGCCGGAAGGUUAAGGAAGGAUGUCCGGAGCAAUCCAAAGCAUUCGACCGAAGCCCCGGUGAACGGCGGCCGUAACUAUAACGGUCCUAAGGUAGCGAAAUUCCUUGUCGGGUAAGUUCCGACCCGCACGAAAGGUGUAACGAUUUGGGCACUGUCUCAACGAGGGACCCGGUGAAAUUGAAGUACCUGUGAAGAUGCAGGUUACCCGCGACUGGACAGAAAGACCCCAUGGAGCUUUACUGUAACCUGACAUUGGGUUCUGAUACAUCACGUACAGGAUAGGUGGGAGGCAUGGAAGCGAGGACGCUAGUCUUCGUGGAGCCGCCGUUGGGAUACCACCCUUGAUGUAUCGGAAUUCUAACCGUAGGAGUAACGAAACUCGGGACAGUGUCAGGCGGGCAGUUUGACUGGGGCGGUCGCCUCCCAAAGAGUAACGGAGGCGCCCAAAGGUUCCCUCAGCGCGGCCGGAAAUCGCGCGAAGAGUGUAAAGGCAGAAGGGAGCUUGACUGAGAGCCAAACACGGCAAUCAGGUACGAAAGUAGGGCUUAGUGAUCCGGUGGCAUCCAAGUGGAAGGGCCAUCGCUCAACGGAUAAAAGCUACCCUGGGGAUAACAGGCUAAUCUCUCCCAAGAGUCCAUAUCGACGGGGAGGUUUGGCACCUCGAUGUCGGCUCAUCACAUCCUGGGGCUGAAGUCGGUCCCAAGGGUUGGGCUGUUCGCCCAUUAAAGUGGUACGUGAGCUGGGUUCAGAACGUCGUGAGACAGUUCGGUCCCUAUCCAUCGCGGGCGCAAGAGAUUUGAAGGGGGCUGCUCCUAGUACGAGAGGACCGGAGUGGACGAACCAAUGGUGUACCAAUUAUCUCGCCAGAGGUAUAGUUGGGUAGCUACGUUCGGAAAGGAUAAACGCUGAAAGCAUCUAAGCGUGAAACCAGCCUUAAGAUGAGAUCUCUCAUAGAGCAAUCUAGUAAGACACCUUGGAGAAGACGAGGUUGAUAGGUCGGGAGUGUAAGUACAGUAAUGUAUUCAGCGGACCGAUACUAAUAUGUCGAGGGCUUGACUUG